rnacentral:rRNA from 1 species
CGGCGAACGGGUGAGUAAUACGUUGGAACCUUCCUCGAACUCGGGGAUAACCCGCCGAAAGGCGGGCUAAUACCGGAUAGUCCCGCAAGGGUAAAGAUUUUUCGGUUCGAGAGGGGCCUGCGAAGUAUCAGCUAGUUGGUAAGGUAACGGCUUACCAAGGCUACGACGCUUAGCUGAUCUGAGAGGAUGAUCAGCCACAAUGGAACUGAGACACGGUCCAUACUCCUACGGGAGGCAGCAGUGAGGAAUCUUCCGCAAUGGGCGAAAGCCUGACGGAGCGACACCGCGUGGAGGAUGAAGGCCUUUUGGUUGUAAACUCCUUUUCUGAGGGAAUAAAUGAUGAAGUUACCUCAGGAAUAAGCACCGGCUAACUACGUGCCAGCAGCUGCGGUAAUACGUAGGGUGCAAGCGUUAUCCGGAAUUAUUGGGCGUAAAGCGUUCGCAGGCGGUUUGGCAAGUUCGUGGUAAAAUCUGGCCGCUCAACGGUCAAUGUGUCAUGAAUACUACCAAACUUGAGAGUGGCAGAGGCAACUGGAAUUCUGCAUGUAGGGGUAAAAUCCGUUGAUAUGCAGAGGAACACCAAAAGCGAAGGCAGGUUGCUGGGCCAUUUCUGACGCUGUUGAACGAAAGCGUGGGUAGCAAACAGGAUUAGAUACCCUGGUAGUCCACGCCGUAAACGAUGGAUACUCGGUGUAAGAGGGAAUCGACCCCCCCUUGUGCCUAAGCAAACGCGUUAAGUAUCCCGCCUGGGGAGUACGGUCGCAAGAUUAAAACUCAAAGGAAUAGACGGGACCCACACAAGCGGUGGAACAUGUGGUUUAAUUCG